rnacentral:rRNA from 1 species
GUGUCAGCCGCCGCGGUAAUACGUAGGUGGCAAGCGUUGUCCGGAUUUAUUGGGUUUAAAGGGUGCGUAGGCGGCUUGAUAAGUCAGUGGUGAAAGCCGAUCGCUUAACGAUCGAACUGCCAUUGAUACUGCCAGGCUUGAGUAUAGUUGAGGUAGGCGGAAUUGACAGUGUAGCGGUGAAAUGCAUAGAUAUUGUCAAGAACACCAAUUGCGAAGGCAGCUUACUAAAGUAUAACUGACGCUGAGGCACGAAAGUGCGGGGAUCAAACAGGAUUAGAUACCCUCGUAGUCC